CGCUGGCGGCGUGCUUAACACAUGCAAGUCGAACGAUGAACCGCUUUCGGGCGGGGAUUAGUGGCGAACGGGUGAGUAACACGUGGGCAAUCUGCCCUGCACUCUGGGACAAGCCCUGGAAACGGGGUCUAAUACCGGAUAUGACUGUCCAUCGCAUGGUGGAUGGUGUAAAGCUCCGGCGGUGCAGGAUGAGCCCGCGGCCUAUCAGCUUGUUGGUGAGGUAGUGGCUCACCAAGGCGACGACGGGUAGCCGGCCUGAGAGGGCGACCGGCCACACUGGGACUGAGACACGGCCCAGACUCCUACGGGAGGCAGCAGUGGGGAAUAUUGCACAAUGGGCGAAAGCCUGAUGCAGCGACGCCGCGUGAGGGAUGACGGCCUUCGGGUUGUAAACCUCUUUCAGCAGGGAAGAAGCGAAAGGGACGGUACCUGCAGAAGAAGCGCCGGCUAACUACGUGCCAGCAGCCGCGGUAAUACGUAGGGCGCAAGCGUUGUCCGGAAUUAUUGGGCGUAAAGAGCUCGUAGGCGGCUUGUCACGUCGGUUGUGAAAGCCCGGGGCUUAACCCCGGGUCUGCAGUCGAUACGGGCAGGCUAGAGUUCGGUAGGGGAGAUCGGAAUUCCUGGU
rnacentral:rRNA from 1 species